CCUACGGGAGGCAGCAGUGGGGAAUAUUGCACAAUGGGGGAAACCCUGAUGCAGCGACGCCGCGUGAGCGAUGAAGUAUUUCGGUAUGUAAAACUCUAUCAGCAGGGAAGAAAAUGACGGUACCUGACUAAGAAGCCCCGGCUAACUACGUUCCAGCAGCCGCGGUAAUACGUAGGGGGCCAGCGUUAUCCGGAUUUACUGGGUGUAAAGGGAGCGUAGACGGCUGUGUAAGCCAGAUGUGAAAGCCCGGGGCUCAACCCCAGGACUGCAUUUGGAACUGGGUGGCUGGAGUGUCGGAGAGGUAGGCGGAAUUCGUAGUGUAGCGGUGAAAUGCGUAGAUAUUAGGAGGAACACCAGUGGCGAAGGCGGCUUGCUGGACGACGACUGACGCUGAUGCGCGAAAGCGUGGGGAGCAAACAGGAUUAGAUACCCGGGUAGUC
rnacentral:rRNA from 1 species